GGCUCUGUGGCGCAAUAGAAAGCGCGUUGGACUUCCAAUUCAAAGGUUGUGGGUUCGAAACCCAUCAGAGUCG